GCUCCUGUAGUGUAGUUCGGUCAAGCAUUUAAGGUUCUCGUCCUUAAGACCCGGGUUCAAAUCCCGGCGGGAGCA
rnacentral:tRNA from 1 species